rnacentral:rRNA from 1 species
GKCUUCGGUCGGGAGAGCUGCGGCCUAUAGCAGUCGGYAGGYKUGGCUACCAGGCGUCGACGGGUAGCCGGCCUGAGAGGGMACCGGCCCACUGGGACUGAGACACGGCCCAACUCCUACGGGAGGCAGCAGUGGGGAWUWUUGCACAAUGGGCGCAAGCCUGAUGCAGCAACGCCGCGUGAGGGACGACGGCCUUUCGGGUUUGUAAACCUCUUUUAGCAGGGAAGWAAGCGAAAGUGACGGUACCUGCAGAAAAAGCGCCGGCUAACUACGUGCCAGCAGCCGCGGUAAUACGUAGGGCGCAAGCGUUAUCCGGAAUUAUUGGGCGUAAAGAGCUCGUAGGCGGUUUGUCGCGUCUGCUGUGAAAACUGGAGGCUCAACCUCCAGCCUGCAGUGGGUACGGGCAGACUAGAGUGCGGUAGGGGAGAUUGGAAUUCCUGGUGUAGCGGUGGAAUGCGCAGAUAUCAGGAGGAACACCGAUGGCGAAAGCAGAUCUCUGGGCCGUAACUGACGCUGAGGAGCGAAAGGGUGGGGAGCAAACAGGCUUAGAUACCCUGGUAGUCCACCCCGUAACGUUGGGAACUAGUUGUGGGGUCCAUUCCACGGAUUCCGUGACGCAGCUACGCAUUAAGUUCCCCGCCUGGGGGAGUACGGCGCAGGCUAAACUCAAGGAUUGACGGGACCCGCACAGCGGCGGAGCAUGCGAUAUCGAUGCACGCGAGACUUACAGCUGACAUAUACGAGACGGCUAGAAAUAGUCACUCUUUGG